GCCAGCUGCCACAUCACCUCAGAAUUGGCUGCCCCACUGAAGCUCAGCAGGUGUGAGCCUGGCCAGUACCUGGAUGGGAGACCUCCUGGGAAAAACUAAGGUUGCUGCUGGAA
rnacentral:rRNA from 1 species